GUAGGGAAUCUUCGGCAAUGGACGAAAGUCUGACCGAGCAACGCCGCGUGAGUGAAGAAGGUUUUCGGAUCGUAAAACUCUGUUGUUAGAGAAGAACGUUGUGUAGAGUGGAAAAUUACACAAGUGACGGUAUCUAACCAGAAAGGGACGGCUAACUACGUGCCAGCAGCCGCGGUAAUACGUAGGUCCCGAGCGUUGUCCGGAUUUAUUGGGCGUAAAGCGAGCGCAGGUGGUUUAAUAAGUCUGAUGUAAAAGGCAGUGGCUCAACCAUUGUGUGCAUUGGAAACUGUUAGACUUGAGUGCAGUAGAGGAGAGUGGAAUUCCAUGUGUAGCGGUGAAAUGCGUAGAUAUAUGGAGGAACACCGGUGGCGAAAGCGGCUCUCUGGACUGUAACUGACACUGAGGCUCGAAAGCGUGGGUAGCAAACAGG
rnacentral:rRNA from 1 species